GUGUGAAAUUUCGAAAGCCUGUGAU
rnacentral:piRNA from 1 species